rnacentral:rRNA from 1 species
CCUACGGGUGGCAGCAGUGAGGAAUAUUGGUCAAUGGCCGGAAGCCUGAACCAGCCAAGUCGCGUGAGGGAAGACGGCCCUACGGGUUGUAAACCUCUUUUGCCGGGGAGCAAGCCUGAGCACGUGUGCCCAGGCGGAGAGUCCCCGGAGAAAAAGCAUCGGCUAACUCCGUGCAAGCAGCCGCGGAAAUACGGAGGAUGCGAGGGGUAUCCGCUUUUAUUGGGUUUAAGGGGUGCGCAGGCGGGCUGGUAAGCCGGCGGUAAAAAUUCAGGGCUCAACCCUGUCGAGCCGUUGGAACUGGCAUUCUUGAGUGGGCGAGAAGUAUGCGGAAUGCGUGGUGUAGCAGUGAAAUGCAUAGAUAUCACGCAGAACGCCGAUUGCGAAGGCAGCAUACCGGCGCCCAACUGACGCUGAGGCACGAAAGCGUGGGUAUCGAACAGGAUUAGAUACCCUAGUAGUC